UACGAAGGGGCUAGCGUUGCUCGGAAUCACUGGGCGUAAAGGGUGCGUAGGCGGGUCUUUAAGUCAGGGGUGAAAUCCUGGAGCUCAACUCCAGAACUGCCUUUGAUACUGAAGAUCUUGAGUUCGGGAGAGGUGAGUGGAACUGCGAGUGUAGAGGUGAAAUUCGUAGAUAUUCGCAAGAACACCAGUGGCGAAGGCGGCUCACUGGCCCGGUACUGACGCUGAGGUGACGAAAGCGGUGGGAGCAAACAGGG
rnacentral:rRNA from 1 species